rnacentral:miRNA from 1 species
GUUCAAAUCCAGAUCUAUAAC